rnacentral:rRNA from 1 species
CAAGUCGAGCGGACAGAUGGGAGCUUGCUCCCUGAUGUUAGCGGCGGACGGGUGAGUAACACGUGGGUAACCUGCCUGUAAGACUGGGAUAACUCCGGGAAACCGGGGCUAAUACCGGAUGGUUGUUUGAACCGCAUGGUUCAAACAUAAAAGGUGGCUUCGGCUACCACUUACAGAUGGACCCGCGGCGCAUUAGCUAGUUGGUGAGGUAACGGCUCACCAAGGCAACGAUGCGUAGCCGACCUGAGAGGGUGAUCGGCCACACUGGGACUGAGACACGGCCCAGACUCCUACGGGAGGCAGCAGUAGGGAAUCUUCCGCAAUGGACGAAAGUCUGACGGAGCAACGCCGCGUGAGUGAUGAAGGUUUUCGGAUCGUAAAGCUCUGUUGUUAGGGAAGAACAAGUACCGUUCGAAUAGGGCGGUACCUUGACGGUACCUAACCAGAAAGCCACGGCUAACUACGUGCCAGCAGCCGCGGUAAUACGUAGGUGGCAAGCGUUGUCCGGAAUUAUUGGGCGUAAAGGGCUCGCAGGCGGUUUCUUAAGUCUGAUGUGAAAGCCCCCGGCUCAACCGGGGAGGGUCAUUGGAAACUGGGGAACUUGAGUGCAGAAGAGGAGAGUGGAAUUCCACGUGUAGCGGUGAAAUGCGUAGAGAUGUGGAGGAACACCAGUGGCGAAGGCGACUCUCUGGUCUGUAACUGACGCUGAGGAGCGAAAGCGUGGGGAGCGAACAGGAUUAGAUACCCUGGUAGUCCACGCCGUAAACGAUGAGUGCUAAGUGUUAGGGGGUUUCCGCCCCUUAGUGCUGCAGCUAACGCAUUAAGCACUCCGCCUGGGGAGUACGGUCGCAAGACUGAAACUCAAAGGAAUUGACGGGGGCCCGCACAAGCGGUGGGGCAUGUGGUUUAAUUCGAAGCAACGCGAAGAACCUUACCAGGUCUUGACAUCCUCUGACAAUCCUAGAGAUAGGACGUCCCCUUCGGGGGCAGAGUGACAGGUGGUGCAUGGUUGUCGUCAGCUCGUGUCGUGAGAUGUUGGGUUAAGUCCCGCAACGAGCGCAACCCUUGAUCUUAGUUGCCAGCAUUCAGUUGGGCACUCUAAGGUGACUGCCGGUGACAAACCGGAGGAAGGUGGGGAUGACGUCAAAUCAUCAUGCCCCUUAUGACCUGGGCUACACACGUGCUACAAUGGACAGAACAAAGGGCAGCGAAACCGCGAGGUUAAGCCAAUCCCACAAAUCUGUUCUCAGUUCGGAUCGCAGUCUGCAACUCGACUGCGUGAAGCUGGAAUCGCUAGUAAUCGCGGAUCAGCAUGCCGCGGUGAACACGUUCCCGGGCCUUGUACACACCGCCCGUCACACCACGAGAGUUUGUAACACCCGAAGUCGGUGAGGUAACCUUUUAGGAGCCAGCCGCCGAAGGUGGGACAGAUGAUUGGGGUGAAGUCGUAACAAGGUAGCCGUAUCGGAAGGUGCGGCUG